UACAGAGGGUGCGAGCGUUUAAUCGGAAUUACUGGGCGUAAAGCGUGCGUAGACGGCUAUCUAAGUCGGGUGUGAAAGCCCCGGGCUCAACCUGGGAAUUGCAUUCGAGACUGAAUAGCUAGGGUGCGGUAGAGGGAAGCGGAAUUUCCGGUGUAGCGGUGAAAUGCGUAGAUAUCGGAAGGAACAUCAGUGGCGAAAGCGGCUUCCUGGACCAGCACCGACGUCAGGCACGAAAGCGUGGGGGAGCAAACAGG
rnacentral:rRNA from 1 species